rnacentral:rRNA from 1 species
GACGAACGCUGGCGGCGUGCUUAACACAUGCAAGUCGAACGGUAAGGCUCCAGCUUGCUGGGGUACACGAGUGGCGAACGGGUGAGUAACACGUGGGUGACCUGCCCUGCACUUCGGGAUAAGCCUGGGAAACUGGGUCUAAUACCGGAUAGGACCGCACCGUGAGGGUGUGGUGGAAAGUUUUUUCGGUGUGGGAUGGGCCCGCGGCCUAUCAGCUUGUUGGUGGGGUAAUGGCCUACCAAGGCGGCGACGGGUAGCCGGCCUGAGAGGGUGGACGGCCACAUUGGGACUGAGACACGGCCCAGACUCCUACGGGAGGCAGCAGUGGGGAAUAUUGCACAAUGGGCGGAAGCCUGAUGCAGCGACGCCGCGUGGGGGAUGACGGCCUUCGGGUUGUAAACUCCUUUCACCAUCGACGAAGGGUUUCUGACGGUAGAUGGAGAAGAAGCACCGGCGAACUACGU